rfam:Oryctolagus cuniculus unplaced genomic scaffold chrTn0370, whole genome shotgun sequence.
CCAAAGGCUCUUUUCAGAGCCACCUCCCUGGUCGGAAAAAGGGCUAU